rnacentral:rRNA from 1 species
UACGUAGGUGGCAAGCGUUUGUCCGGAUUUACUGGGCGUAAAGAGCGCGCAGGCGGUCGUUCAAGUCGCGUGUGAAAGCCCCCCGGCUCAACUGGGGAGGGUCACGCGAUACUGAUCGACUCGAAGGCAGGAGAGGGAAGUGGAAUUCCCGGUGUAGUGGUGAAAUGCGUAGAUAUCGGGAGGAACACCAGUGGCGAAGGCGACUUCCUGGCCUGUUCUUGACGCUGAGGCGGCGAAAAGCUAGGGGAGCAAACGGG